rnacentral:rRNA from 1 species
ACCUACGGGGCGCAGCAGUGGGGAAUAUUGGGCAAUGGGCGAAAGCCUGACCCAGCAACGCCGCGUGAUUGAAGAAGGUCUUCGGAUUGUAAAGAUCUGUCCUAUGGGAAGAAAAAAAUGACGGUACCAUAGGAGGAAGCCCCGGCUAACUACGUGCCAGCAGCCGCGGUAAUACGUAGGGGGCUAGCGUUGUCCGGAAUUACUGGGCGUAAAGGGUGCGUAGGCGGUUCUUUAAGUCAGAUGUGAAAUACCCGAGCUUAACUUGGGGGGUGCAUCUGAUACUGGGGGACUUGAGUGCAGGAGAGGAAAGUGGAAUUCCUAGUGUAGCGGUGAAAUGCGUAGAUAUUAGGAGGAACACCAGUGGCGAAGGCGACUUUCUGGACUGUAACUGACGCUGAGGCACGAAAGCGUGGGGAGCAAACAGGAUUAGAUACCCCGGUAGG